rnacentral:rRNA from 1 species
AGAACGAACGCUGGCGGCAUGCCUAACACAUGCAAGUCGAACGAGAUCCUUCGGGGUCUAGUGGCGCCCGGGUGCGUAACGCGUGGGAAUCUGCCCUUAGGUUCGGAAUAACAGUUAGAAAUGACUGCUAAUACCGGAUAAUGACGUAAGUCCAAAGAUUUAUCGCCUAGGGAUGAGCCCGCGUAGGAUUAGCUUGUUGGUGGGGUAAAAGCUCGACCAAGGCGACGAUCCUUAGCUGGUCUGAGAGGAUGAUCAGCCACACGUGGGACUGAGACCGACGGCCCAGACCCCUAGGGAGCAGCAGGUGGGAAUAGUGGACAGUAGGGACGUAAAGCCUGAACUCCAAGGACAAGUCGGCCCGGUCGUUGGAGUU